rnacentral:lncRNA from 1 species
AAAUUCAGAAUAAUAUUCUUGAAUUGACAAAUUACCUUGUUUGUAGUUGGCUAACUCUAGCUCCAAAUGAAAACGUUUGGCCGUAUUGUCUUGGUUGUAGAUACGCUUCAAAUAGUUCCACAUUUCUUGAGCAGUUGAAAAAGAGCGCAAAUUAUUGAUCAUAUGAGGAUCAAUAGUAUUGAGAAUCCAAGAAAUAAUCUGAGCAUCUUUGAUUUCCCACGCAUCUAAGGCAGUUUUCUCUAUCGGUGCCUUCGAAACCCCAUCAAGGUGACUCCAUAAUCCUUUUCCUUUAACAUACAUUUUGAAUUGAAAUUCCCAAGCAGCGUAAUUCUUGCCAGUAAAACGGACACAAAAGUUGUCUCUUUCUUUUUCAGAAGUCAUGCUAUUGUACUAAAAAAAUAAUGAUGACAGCAGUACAAAAACAGAGCAGGAGCAGAGAAAAAGGGCAGCAAUACAGAAGCAGAGAAACAGGGCAGGAGCAGCAACACAAAAACAGGGCAGGAGCAGCAACACAAAAACAGAGCAUCAACAGAGAGACAUGCUCACAACGAGAGGCAGACGAAAUCACGAUGACAAUCGACCAAGCAGCAGCAACGAGUAACACGCUCAAGCAAGGACAACCCAAAAACGAAUCAAGAAUCACGAUCUCAGCCGCAGCAGCGAGUGCGAGAUUUCGAGAGCGACUUAGUGGUGUGUCGCUGAAUAAACCCCGAUAAACUAGAAUCUCACAGGUUUGAUCGAACCUGCUGAUACCAUGUCAGAAAAUAGGGUUUGAUGCCCUUUUUGCCUUGAUAUUUCUCGGUAUAAAUAAUCGUUACAACAUUUAUAUCUAAUAAUUACAAAUUAAGAGGAUCAAAUCAAAUCCUGAUUUGUCUAAC